UACAGAGGUCUCAAGCGUUGUUCGGAUUCAUUGGGCGUAAAGGGUGCGUAGGUGGCAUGGUAAGUCGGAUGUGAAAUCCCGGGGCUCAACCCCGGAACUGCAUUCGAUACUGCCAGGCUAGAGUACUGGAGAGGAGAUUGGAAUUUACGGUGUAGCAGUGAAAUGCGUAGAUAUCGUAAGGAAGACCGGUGGCGAAGGCGAGUUUCUGGACAGUAACUGACGCUGAGGCACGAAGGCCAGGGGAGCAAACGGG
rnacentral:rRNA from 1 species